UCCAUCCCCACGUGUCCAGCUGCAGCCUCCCGCCGCGCCCCUCUCAGCGCGGAGCAGCUGCCAGCGACGUCAUUGGCGCGCGCGACAGGAACCGUUCCGGACUCUACGCGUGCUCAGAAUCAAACCAGACCGACGUCAGGUGCCAUGUUUGUGAGGGGAACCAUUGAAGAACCCACCCCCUGUCCGCCAUGUUUGUGAGGGGCAUCAUAGGGCAAGAAUGAAAGAGCUGGAUGACCACUGCCAUAAAACCAAAGAAGAUUUGAAAGAAGUUAGGAAGUGAGUGAAUGCGAUUCUAAACAGCAGUAACCCUGGUGGUCCUAAGCACUUUAUUCUGCAAGUCCUGAAGGCUGCUAAGGAUUUGACUUUCCCUUAGAAAUAUGUUGUUUGAGAGCAUCAGCAGUAGCUGAAGAAAUCAUUCUAAGGACCUGGAAAUCAGCAAA